rnacentral:rRNA from 1 species
GAUGAACGCUGGCGGCGUGCCUAAUACAUGCAAGUCGAGCGAACAGACGAGGAGCUUGCUCCUCUGACGUUAGCGGCGGGCGGGUGAGUAACACGUGGAUAACCUACCUAUAAGACUGGGAUAACUUCGGGAAACCGGAGCUAAUACCGGAUAAUAUAUUGAACCGCAUGGUUCAAUAGUGAAAGACGGUUUUGCUGUCACUUAUAGAUGGAUCCGCGCCGCAUUAGCUAGUUGGUAAGGUAACGGCUUACCAAGGCGACGAUGCGUAGCCGACCUGAGAGGGUGAUCGGCCACACUGGAACGGAGACACGGUCCAGACUCCUACGGGAGGCAGCAGUAGGGAAUCUUCCGCAAUGGGCGAAAGCCUGACGGAGCAACGCCGCGUGAGUGAUGAAGGUCUUCGGAUCGUAAAACUCUGUUAUUAGGGAAGAACAAAUGUGUAAGUAACUAUGCACGUCUUGACGGUACCUAAUCAGAAGGCCACGGCUAACUACGUG